AUUGAACGCUGGCGGCAUGCUUUACACAUGCAAGUCGAACGGUAACAGGCCUUCGGGUGCUGACGAGUGGCGAACGGGUGAGUAAUGCAUCGGAACGUGCCCAGGGGUGGGGGAUAACGCAGCGAAAGCUGUGCUAAUACCGCAUGUGAUCUGAGGAUGAAAGCGGGGGACCAGGCAGCAAUGUUUGGCCUCGCGCCUUUGGAGCGGCCGAUGUCAGAUUAGGUAGUUGGUGGGGUAAAGGCCUACCAAGCCGACGAUCUGUAGCUGGUCUGAGAGGACGACCAGCCACACUGGGACUGAGACACGGCCCAGACUCCUACGGGAGGCAGCAGUGGGGAAUUUUGGACAAUGGGCGCAAGCCUGAUCCAGCAAUGCCGCGUGCGGGAAGAAGGCCUUCGGGUUGUAAACCGCUUUUGUACGGAACGAAAAGGCUCUGGCUAAUACCUGGGGCUGAUGACGGUACCGUAAGAAUAAGCACCGGCUAACUACGUG
rnacentral:rRNA from 1 species